AGAGUUUGAUCAUGGCUCAGGGCUAACGCUGGCGGCGUGCCUUAGCCAGGCAAGUCGAGCGGACUUAUGGGGUAACUUAUAAGUCAGCGGCGGACGGCGGAGUAACACGUAGCUAACCUACCCUCUGGACGGGGAUAACCUACCGAAAGGUGGGCUAAUACCCGAUGUAGUCAUCCUGUAUAGGGGUGAUGAAAGGUGGGCUUCUGUUUACAAGCUCAUGCUGGAGGAGGGGGCUGCGGCCUAUCAGGUAGUUGGUAGGGUAAUAGCCUACCAAGCCGAUGACGGGUAGCCGGCCUGAGAGGGUGACCGGCCCGAGGGGCACUGAGAUACGGGUCCCACUCCUACGGGAGGCAGCAGGCUAGAAAUUUGGGCAAUGGGGGAAACCCUGACCCAGUGACGCCGCGUGCAGGAAGGAGCCCUUCGGGGUGUAAACUGCUGUCGUGUAGGGAGAAGGGUACUAAGGUGAACAAUCUUAGUACUUGACGGUACUACAGGAGGAAGCCCAGGCUAACCUCGUGCCAGCAGCCGCGGUAAUACGGGGUGGGCGAGCGUUGCCCGGAAUUACUGGGUUUAAAGGGGGUAUAGGCGGUCUGGAUAGUCGGGUGUGUAAUGCAAUCGCUCAACGAUUGAGCUGCAUCUGAUACUUCCAGGCUAGAGGGCGGUAGAGGAGAGCGGAACUCCCGGUGUAGCGGUGAAAUGCGUAGAUAUCGGGAGGAACGCCGGUGGCGAAGGCGGCUCUCUGGGCCGUUCCUGACGCUGAGGCCCGAAAGCUGGGGGAGCGAAAGGGAUUAGAUACCCCUGUAGUCCCAGCCGUAAACGAUGGGCACUAGGUGUACCUUUUAACGGAGGUAUACCGUCGGGAAACCAAUAAGUGCCCCACCUGGGGAGUACGCCCGCAAGGGUGAAACUCAAAUGAAUUGACGG
rnacentral:rRNA from 1 species